CUGUUGUUUUAGGGAUUUAGGGAUUGUUCUUAAGAACUGAAAUUGUUUGAUUGAUUACGUUUUAUUUUCAACCCUAAAAAUCCCCAAAUUUUGAAGGAGUUUAAGGAUGUACAAGUUGGAACACCUCCACUAAAGCUAAGUCUCAUUUAUUGGUUAUCAUUUGAUUGAUUUUGAUGGUUUAAGUCUCAUUUACUGGUUGUCGUUCGAUUGAUUUUAAUUGAUUAAAUAGUGUCACUAACUUAUUUUGGUUGGAAUUUAUUGAUUUUGUAGAUAACAUAAUGAAGUCUGAGGUAGCGCUCUGAACCAAUUGGUAAAGUUGUGGAUUCCUUGUUUGCAUCGCAACUGGAGCUUUUCUGGUGAACCAGUUUGAAGAUUCUCAACCGCGUGUGACAAUUAGGCCAUCCACUUUCAGACCCUGAUGAACAUGAUUCUGACCCAAACACUAAGAAGACAAAGAAGAAGAAACCUUCAGAUAUGAAG